rnacentral:lncRNA from 1 species
UAAAUUGCUUACUUGUGAUUCCUUUUGUCAGGAUCUGCUCCUGGGGCACCUGACCUAAAACAGUGGUUUUCUGAAGUUUGGACAAGUUAUUUCUCUUUGUUUCUUCCUCUGAAAGCUGUAGGCAAUGACUAUCCUCACUUUGUGGUGCUUCUGUGAGGUUUAAAGAUCACUUAGCCCGCCUCUGGCAGGUGUUUGGAGUACAAUCAGUGUUAUCCAAAAGGGAUGCUCGCAGAGGAAGGUAUGCCACCAUUUUGUUCAUCUUUAACUCACCCCUUCCCCUUUCCCUUCAAAACACAUACAGCAACUGGUGAAGUAUGGUCGACUACAUUUUGUUCAUGCCCUGCUUUGGGUUAUCAACUCCUCAGGGGAGAGAUGGCAUCUAGAGUGUGCCAUGAUCCCAGUUUGCCUGGGACUGUCUCAGUUUUAGCACUGAAAAUCCUGCAUCCCUGAAACCUCUGUCUUGCACAAAUCAGGAUGGUUGUCACCCUAUACAUUUUUUUUGUUUCUAAUUGUGCCUUACCAUCUAAGCACACACAUGGGCAUGGACUUGAUACUCAAUACAUACUUGAUGCAGGAAGUAUCAGUGAAGUAUUGAUGUAUGAGUACCCAUGACAUUUCCUGACAUGCCUUUUGGUCUGUUUUCUCUAGGAAGGUGUUUGUGGGGACCCAAAAUAAUCACAAGAGUCCUUGAAAGUGGAAGAGAAAGGCACAAAUGGGGAGUUCAGAGGAAGAUGUGACUGUAAAAGACAGACACAGAAGAAGGACUCAAAACUCCAUCCCUGCCAUGUUGGCCUUGAAGAUGGGCAAAGAGGCUGCCUCUGGAAGCUGGAAUGGGCAAAGAAACAGAUUCUCCUCAGGCAAUGAAUGGCCCCCUAGAACCUCCAGAGGCACAACAACCGUGCCCAUAUCUUGAUGUUAGCCCCAUGAGGCCAAUGUUGGACCUCUAACUUAACAGAAAUAUCAGAAAAGAAAUCUGUGUUUUAAGCCACUGUGUGGUCACUGGUUGCAGUAGCCAUAGAAAAUGAACACAGACCCCUUUCAGAAUCUACGGAAAGUGACAUGUACGGGAUGCCUGGGUGGCUCAGUCAGUUAAGCAUCCUACUUCCGCUCAAGUCAUGAUCUCCAGGUUCCUGGGUUCGAGGCCGGCAUUAGGCUCUUUGCUGACAGCUCAGACCCUGGAUCCUGCCUGGGAUUCUGUGUCUCUCUCUUUCUCUGCCCCUUCCCUGCUCAUGCACGUGCACGCCUGCUCUCUCUCUCUCUCUCAAAAAUAAAUAAACGUUAAAAUUUUUUUUUUAAAAGUGACAGGUACUUCUUGCAAGGAAAAAAAAAUGCAUUCAGUUUUAGGAAUUUCCAGAUGAUGGACUCCAGGUAAAGGAUUUCAGUUCAGAUGUCAAGGGCUAUAUUCCAGAUGGAAAACAACACGCAGUGAACUCUAAGAAAGACUAAAUGCUGCUGGCCUCAGAACAUAUGAUU